rnacentral:rRNA from 1 species
UACGUAGGGGGCAAGCGUUGUCCGGAAUCAUUGGGCGUAAAGAGCGCGUAGGCGGCCCAGUAAGUCCGCUCUGAAAGUCAGGGGCUCAACCCCUGAAUGCGGGUGGAUACUGCUGGGCUAGAGUCCGGAAGAGGCGAGUGGAAUUCCUGGUGUAGCGGUGAAAUGCGCAGAUAUCAGGAGGAACACCAAUGGCGAAGGCAGCUCGCUGGGACGGUACUGACGCUGAGACGCGAAAGCGUGGGAGCGAACAGG